rnacentral:rRNA from 1 species
CGAUGGUUCAUUCAAAUUUCUUCCCUAUCAACUUUCGAUGUUUGGGUAUUGGCCAAACAUGGUUGCAACGGGUAACGGAGGGUUAGGGCUCGACCCCGGAGAAGGAGCCUGAGAAACGGCUACUACAUCCAAGGAAGGCAGCAGGCGCGCAAAUUACCCAAUCCCGAUACGGGGAGGUAGUGACAAUAAAUACUGAUACAGGGCUCUUUUGGGUCUUGUAAUUGGAAUGAGUACAAUUUAAAUCCCUUAACGAGGAACAAUUGGAGGGCAAGUCUGGUGCC